rnacentral:rRNA from 14 species
AUCCACAGCCAUACCACCCUGAGAACGGACCAUCACACCUGAUCUCGGAAGUUAAGCAGGGUCCAGCUUGAGUCUUGUCUAGGGUUAGACAAUGAUAUAGGAGGACCACCAAGAGAUU